GACGAACCGAGCGAACGUUAUUCGGAAUCACUGGGCUUAAAGGGCGCGUAGGCGGGCCGUCAAGUCGAGGGUGAAAUCCCCCAGCUCAACUGGGGAAGUGCCUCCGAUACUGGCGGCCUCGAGGGGGAUAGGGGCAUGCGGAACUUCCGGUGGAGCGGUGAAAUGCGUAGAGAUUAGGAAGAACACCAGUGGCGAAGGCGACUUACUGGACUGUAACUGACGCUGAGGCAUGAAAGCGUGGGGAGCAAACAGG
rnacentral:rRNA from 1 species